AUUGAACGCUGGCGGCAUGCUUUACACAUGCAAGUCGAACGGCAGCGGGGAGGAGCUUGCUUCUCUGCCGGCGAGUGGCGAACGGGUGAGUAAUACAUCGGAACGUGUCGAGAAGAGGGGGAUAACCACCCGAAAGGGUGGCUAAUACCGCAUAAAUUCUGAGGAAGAAAGCUGGGGACCUAGGAAUAGGCCUAGCGCUUUUUGAGCGGCCGAUGUCGGAUUAGCUAGUUGGUGAGGUAAAGGCUCACCAAGGCGAAGAUCUGUAGCGGGUCUGAGAGGAUGAUCCGCCACACUGGGACUGUGACACGGCCCAGACUCCUACGGGAGGCAGCAGUGGGGAAUUUUGGACAAUGGGGGCAACCCUGAUCCAGCCAUGCCGCGUGUAUGAAGAAGGCCUUAGGGUUGUAAAGUACUUUUGUUAGGGAAGAAAAGUCAGCUGUGAAUAAUGGCUGAUACUGACGGUACCUAAAGAAUAAGCACCGGCUAACUACGUG
rnacentral:rRNA from 1 species